ensembl:snRNA U6 U6 spliceosomal RNA
GUGCUCUCUUCUCUUCGGCAGCACAUACACUAAAAUCGGAACGAUACACAGAAUAUUAGCAUGGCCCCUGCGCAAGGAUGACACACAAAUUAAUGAAGCGUUCCAUAUUUCU